rnacentral:tRNA from 1 species
GGGCGGAUGGUUUAGUGGUAUAAUGCCUUCUUAGCAUGGAGGAGGUCCGGGGUUCGAUUCCCCGUCCGUCCA